CGCCAUGAUUGUGAGUCUUCCCCAGCCAUGUGGAACUAAGUAAAACGGGGAAUUUUUUAGAAACACGUCAAUUACCUUUGAUUUUGUGUCAUAUACAGAAGGGAAUGUUUUUAUUCCUGCAAACCCCAUAAAAGCCAGUGAUGCAUUUUCAUAGCCCUCUCUUGGCAGAAAACUGCCUUUGAAAUUUCUGGAUCAAGAACGUAUUAUUUUCUGAUGGCUUUUUUUUUUUUUUUUUCUGGUGAUGUAUCUCAAAAGCUUCAACUUUUCCCCUCCUGUUAGCAGAAUACAGAAUUUUGAAGGUCCCUGAUAAGACAUCUUUGAGGUCAGGCAUAAAUCAUCACUUCACAUCUUGACGGCAAUGCAACGAAGACAAGUAUCUGUCUCUUUGGGUCUGUCUAACAAGGAGCAAAGCCUGGCCUCCCACCAGCAUCCAGACAAUAGUGGAUUCCCUCUCCAUAGAUGUCAAAAAAGAAACAGAUGCUCCCGCAGGUGAAAUGAGCUCUGGUCCACAAUGCAACGCAGGCUGUGCAGAAAAUCAAAGAGGAACCAACCCAGAAGUAUCCCCCAGGACAAAUCAUUAAGGGGGAAAAGGUCUCUGCAAAUGUAAUGAGUCCAGACACCAAGGGAAACGGAGAAGAUAAGAAGCAGAGAUUGAGGUAAUGCGUCCACCAGCCAAGGAGCACCAAGACGUGCUGGCGACCACCAGAUGCUAGCGGGGAGACCUGGAACAGAUUCUCCCUCAAAGCCUCCAGAAGUAAACCAACUCUGUAGACACCUUCAUUUCAGACUUCUGGUCUCCAGAGCUGUGAGAGAAUCCAUUUCUGUUCAUUGCAGCCACUUUUUUCUUUUCUUCCUUCUUUCUUUUCUUUUUUCUUUC
rnacentral:lncRNA from 1 species